CUCGUGGCUAGUUCAGGCGGAAGGAGCAGUCCUCUGAAGCUUGAGGAGCCUCUAGAACUAUGAGCCCGAGGCCUUCCCCUCUCCCAGAGCGCAGAGGCUUUGAAGGCUACCUCUGGGAAGCCGCUCACCGUCGGAAGCUGCGGGAGCUGAAACUGCGCCAUCGUCACUGUCGGCGGCCAUGACACCGCUCGUCUCCCGCCUGAGUCGUCUGUGGGCCAUCAUGAGGAAGCCACGAGCAGCCGUGGGAAGUGGUCACAGGAAGCAGGCAGCCAGCCAGGAAGGGAGGCAGAAGCAUGCUAAGAACAACAGUCAGGCCAAGCCUUCUGCCUGUGAUGGCCUGGCCAGGCAGCCGGAAGAGGUGGUAUUGCAGGCCUCUGUCUCCUCAUACCAUCUAUUCAGAGACAUAGCUGAAGUCACAGCCUUCCGAGGGAGCCUGCUAAGCUGGUACGACCAAGAGAAACGGGACCUACCAUGGAGAAGACGGGCAGAAGAUGAGAUGGACCUGGACAGGCGGGCAUAUGCUGUGUGGGUCUCAGAGGUCAUGCUGCAGCAGACCCAGGUUGCCACUGUGAUCAACUACUAUACCGGAUGGAUGCAGGUGACUCCAGGGGAGGAAGGGAAGGGUCAUGGGUCAGACCCCAGAUGAGAGCCUCUACUUUGGGGUGGGUGUAGAGAAGGCUUCCUCUACCACCUUCACCCUUGACCUUGUCUCUUUCUGCCUGCCUGUGGCUAUAGAAGUGGCCUACACUGCAGGACCUGGCCAGUGCUUCCCUGGAGGUGAGAGCCACCCUAGGGUAGGGGAAAUAGGAACGAUAGAGGGACUGAUGGGUGAUCUCUUUGACCUCUGAUCCUACCCACAGGAGGUGAAUCAACUCUGGGCUGGCCUGGGCUACUAUUCUCGUGGCCGGCGGCUGCAGGAGGGAGCUCGGAAG
rnacentral:sRNA from 1 species